CUGUGAUUAUAAGAUCUAUAUUA
rnacentral:snRNA from 1 species